rnacentral:rRNA from 1 species
CCCUACGGGGCGCAGCAGGCAUUGACGGCCAGAUCAUGCCGCCGGUAAUGGGGGCUGCCGCCUUUAUCAUGGCCGAAUACCUGAACGUGCCGUACCUGGCUGUGGUUAAAGCAGCGGUCAUUCCUGCGGUGCUCUCAUAUUGCGGUCUUUUUUACAUCACGCACGUGGAGGCAUGCAAACUGGGGAUGAAGGGCAUGAGCCGCGAGGAAUUGCCCAGGUUUCGGGAGGAGUUCUUCAAAGGUUUUCAUUACUUGAUCCCUAUGGCUGCAUUGGUGGUGGAACUAGUCUGGUUCAGGCAUUCGCCCCAGCUCUCCGUAAUGAGGGCUAUCGUAGUGCUCGCCGGGAUCAUUGUGGCGCAACAGAGCGUUCAGGCAUGGCGAGGCAAGAAGGGGGGCUGGAGCGGGCUUCGGGAAGCCGUACACAUCCUCCUGGAGAGC